rnacentral:lncRNA from 1 species
GCGAUUCUCCUGCCUCAGCCUCCCAAGUAGCUGGGAUUACAGGUUUAUGGAGAAGUAAAUUAUCCAAAGCACAUGGAAGAAUCCUCAAGCCUGCAAAUACUAUGACAUAAGUAUCUAUGCAAAUGUCUCUCAUAUUUGGAAUUGAGCUUCUACGAAGGCCAGUGCCAUUUUUCUCCUGCUGUUUACUGCCCAUCUCCAUGGAAAACAAGACACAUUCCCAGAAGUGAAAGUGCAGAUUCAAAGAACCUGUAAGUAUUUAAUGAGUCUGGUCAAUCAGCGUUGCUCAGGG